rnacentral:piRNA from 1 species
CCAAAUGGAAUCCAACUCUCUCGC